rnacentral:tRNA from 1 species
UCAGCCGGCGAUCGUUGGGAACCGCGCGUCCUUGCAAGGCGCGCAGCAAUCGAUCGAUCGCUUCGAUCCGGUCGUG